UGGUUAUGGGUACGUUACAGGCCUUUCAUAUUCUUGUGUAUAUUUUACUAGACCAUAGAUGUAAUGCCCUAAUUUUCUGAAUCGAAACACUACACAGUGCUCAUGACCUCGAAGGACCACACGAUAACCCAUGACUAAUAUUUGUACCUAUAUACUGCAUAAAACACUAUAUAAUAUGGAAACAUGAAUUGAAAGGCCAUAAGGUUCAAUACUAAUACAUAACUGAAAAUAGGGUAUAACAAUACCAAAACAACUAAGAUAAUUGUCUGAACAUACUAUAGUCUGAAAGCCUCUAAACUUGUUUGAAUAAGGAUUUGAUGGGACAUGUCCCCAACUAACUCCAACUACUGAAAUAGACUGAAAACUAAAAUAGUAAUGUAAUCAUCAUUUCCUCGAAGGAUAAGGACUCACAGCUGACUCUGACUGUUGAACUAGGAUGCUACUGAUGCUCUGGAGCUCGUGCUUCUAAACCUAUGGUAUAAGACACCAUAGCACAAAUGCGUUAAUACUUUGAAUGUACUGGUAUACAAGUGAGGUAGGCUGAAUAUAAUAGGUUUAUAUGCAUGAACAAUACUAACUGACUGACUAACAUGAAGGUGAAAUACAUACAUGCAUACGUAACUAUAACUGACAUUGUGAUUGGAUUGAAUAUCGAGUUUUGACUACUGAGUUUACUGAUAUUGACAUCUGAGUCACUGAUGAGUGAGAAAGACUGAUACUAUAUUAGUGAAUACUGAGGGACUGAUACUAUGUUAUUGAUAUAUGAAUAACUGUG
rnacentral:lncRNA from 1 species